GUAUAGUAGUGCGUGUGCACAACAGUAAUUUCAUUACAUUCGAGUGUGUGUAAAAUCCUCUGCCGGCCGAAGCUAGCAAGAGGCCAAAGGUUCACAGGGUAUUGGAUGAAAGUCACCAGCGUGCACUUGCCAAAGCCGAAGCCAGGCCAGCACUGAAGGCAACGAUUCGCAAUCAAUAAUGAUCCUUCCGCAGGUUCACCUACGGAAA
rnacentral:misc_RNA from 1 species